CCUACGGGAGGCAGCAGUGAGGAAUAUUGGUCAAUGGCCGUAAGGCUGAACCAGCCAAGUCGCGUGAAGGAAGAAGGAUCUAUGGUUUGUAAACUUCUUUUAUAGGGGAAUAAAGGUAUCCACGUGUGGAUAUUUGCAUGUACCCUAUGAAUAAGCAUAGGCUAACUCCGUGCCAGCAGCCGCGGUAAUACGGAGGAUGCGAGCGUUAUCCGGAUUUAUUGGGUUUAAAGGGUGCGUAGGUUGUUUUUUAAGUCAGCGGUGAAAGUUUGUGGCUCAACCAUAAAAUUGCCGUUGAAACUGGAAGACGUGAGUGUGUUUGAGGUAGGCGGAAUGCGUGGUGUAGCGGUGAAAUGCAUAGAUAUCACGCAGAACUCCGAUUGCGAAGGCAGCUUACUAAGCCAUAACUGACGCUGAAGCACGAAAGCGUGGGGAUCAAACAGGAUUAGAUACCCCAGUAGUC
rnacentral:rRNA from 1 species